rnacentral:tRNA from 1 species
GGACCAUUAGCUCAGUUGGCAGAGCACCUGACUCUUAAUCAGGGUGUCCACGGUUCGAGCCCGUGAUGGUCCACCA